UACGUAGGGGGCGAGCGUUGUCCGGAGUUACUGGGCGUAAAGCGCACGCAGGCGGUCUGCUAAGUUUGGAGUGACAGUUGGUGGCUUAACUGCCAAAGUGCUUCGAAAACUGACAGACUUGGAGGCUUCAGAGGGACACGGAAUUCCGGGUGGAGUGGUGAAAUGCGUAGAGAUCCGGAGGAACACCAAAGGCGAAGGCAGUGUCCUGGGGAGUACCUGACGCUCAGGUGCGAAAGCCAGGGGAGCGAACGGG
rnacentral:rRNA from 1 species